UACAGAGGGUGCAAGCGUUAAUCGGAAUUACUGGGCGUAAAGCGUGCGUAGGUGGUUUGUUAAGUCUGAUGUGAAAGCCCUGGGCUCAACCUGGGAAUUGCAUUGGAUACUGGCAGGCUAGAGUGCGGUAGAGGGUAGUGGAAUUCCCGGUGUAGCAGUGAAAUGCGUAGAGAUCGGGAGGAACAUCUGUGGCGAAGGCGACUACCUGGACCAGCACUGACACUGAGGCACGAAAGCGUGGGGAGCAAACAGG
rnacentral:rRNA from 1 species